UACGGAGGGAGCUAGCGUUGUUCGGAAUUACUGGGCGUAAAGCGCACGUAGGCGGCUAUUCAAGUCGGGGGUGAAAGCCCGGGGCUCAACCCCGGAACUGCCCUCGUAACUAGAUAGCUAGAAUCUUGGAGAGGCGAGUGGAAUUCCGAGUGUAGAGGUGAAAUUCGUAGAUAUUCGGAAGAACACCAGUGGCGAAGGCGACUCGCUGGACAAGUAUUGACGCUGAGGUGCGAAAGCGUGGGGAGCAAACAGG
rnacentral:rRNA from 1 species